GACGAACGCUGGCGGCGUGCCUAACACAUGCAAGUCGAGCGAAUGAAGUUCCUUCGGGAAUGGAUUUAGCGGCGGACGGGUGAGUAACACGUGGGCAACCUACCUCAUAGAGGGGAAUAGCCUUCCGAAAGGGAGAUUAAUACCGCAUAAGAUUGUAGCUUCGCAUGAAGUAGUAAUUAAAGGAGUAAUCCGCUAUGAGAUGGGCCCGCGGCGCAUUAGCUAGUUGGUGAGGUAACGGCGCACCAAGGCGACGAGGCGUAGCCGACCUGAGAGGGUGAUCGGCCACAUUAGGACUGAGACACGGCCCAGGCUCCUACGGGAGGCAGCAGUGGGGAAUAUUGCACAAUGGGGGAAACCCUGAUGCAGCAACGCCGCGUGAGUGAUGACGGCCUUCGGGUUGUAAAGCUCUGUCUUCAGGGACGAUAAUGACGGUACCUGAGGAGGAAGCCACGGCUAACUACGUGCCAGCCGCCGCCGUAA
rnacentral:rRNA from 1 species